AAACCAACAGGGAUUGCCUUAGUAGCGGCGAGUGAAGCGGCAAUAGCUCAAAUUUGAAAUCUGGCGUCUUCGGCGUCCGAGUUGUAAUUUGAAGAAGGUAUCUUUGAGACUGGCUCUUGUCUAUGUUCCUUGGAACAGGACGUCACAGAGGGUGAGAAUCCCGUGCGAUGAGAUGCCCAGUUUCGUGUAAAGUUCCUUCGACGAGUCGAGUUGUUUGGGAAUGCAGCUCUAAGUGGGUGGUAAAUUCCAUCUAAGGCUAAAUAUUUGCGAGAGACCGAUAGCGAACAAGUACUGUGAAGGAAAGAUGAAAAGAACUUUGAAAAGAGAGUGAAAAAGUACGUGAAAUUGUUGAAAGGGAAGGGCUUGAGGUCAGACUUGGUUUUACCAGGCCAGCAUCAGUUUGGGUGGCGGGAUAAUAACGAAGGAAAGUGGCACAGCUUCGGUUGUGUGUUAUAGCCUUUGUUGAUACCGCCUGCCUAGACUGAGGACUGCGUCUUUGACUAGGAUGCUGGCAUAAUGACCUUAAGCCGC
rnacentral:rRNA from 1 species